CCUUUCUUUCAUCAGUUUCUUAUAGUUUUCACAGUACAAGUCUUUUCUCUCUUUUGGUAGGUUUAUUCCUAGGUAUUUUAUGCUUCUUAAUAGAAGAGGAAAGGAGGCCAGAAUACAAAGACAAGUGAACUUAUGAGUUGCUAUUUUUCAUCCUAUUGCCUAGAUUGACAGUAUCAGUAAUGAUGAAGAAAUCUGGACAGGAGUUCCACUGUGACUCAGUGGAUUAAGAACCCAACAUAGUCUCUUGAGGAUGUGGGUUCAACCCCUGGCCUCAUUCAGUGGGCUGAUCUGGCAUUGCCACAUGCUGUGGUGUAAGUCACAGAUUCAGCUUGGACCUGGCAUUACUGUGGCUGUGGUGUAGGCCUGAAGUUGCAGUUCCAAUUAAACACCUAGCCCAGGAACUUCCGUAUGCCACAGUGUGGCCAUUAAAAGGAAAAAAAGAAAAAAAAACCUGGACAGAGAUCUACAUAAAGUCAAACCAGAAAAACUUUCUUUACAGAGUUUAGUAAUGAUGCCUUAUAAUAAUUGAAAAAUCAUUAGGAAAAAUAGUAGGUAAAGAACAGAAAAUGGAAAUAUGCUAUAAUAUAUUAAUAUAUUUCCUAUAAUUUUCUAAUUUCCUCAUCUCCAUUUAUGAAAAGUCUACCUCAUUGCUUUUCUCAAAAUGCUCUCAGCUUCCCAAGACCUUUUUUUCCUUCUACUUCUUUUUUUUUUUUUUGUCUUUUUUGUAGGGCCGCGCCCAUGGCAUAUGGAAAUUUCCAGGCUAGGGGUCAAAUCGGAGCAGUAGCUGCCAGCCUACACCACAGCCACAGCAAUAUGGGAUCUGAGCCACGUCUGUGACCUACACCACAGUUCAGAGCAGUGCUGGAUCCUUAACCCACUUAGAAAGGCUAGAGAUCAAACCUGCAUCCUCAAGGAUACUAGCCAGAUUCAUUACUGCUGAGCCAUGACAGGAACUCCCACAAGACCUUUUUAAUAAUAGAAACUAUUUUCUUUCUAUCUCAUUGUCCUUCAUUAAAGCAUUUAUUAAAGUGUCCUAUUAUUAGAGUUAGUUAUAUUUGAACUGUCUCCCGACUGAACUGUAGAUCAUCUUUGCCAUUUCUAACACAGGAGACCUGCACACAAGUGCCCAAUAAACACUUGCAUAAUUGAAUACAUUAGUGCAAAAAUAUAUCUUUAUAUAUUUUAUAAUUUUGAAACAUUGAUUAUGUGACUGCCAUCAAAGUGGAAAAAGGAAUGAUUGAGAUAAUAUAUGCCAAUCUAUUCUGAGAUCAAAGUUAAGUGUUAACAUAUAAAAUAUAUCAAUAUGCUAUGAUUCUUUAUUAUUCCCUUUAUCUCUUCUCUUUUUUUGUCUUUUCUGGGGCCGCACCCACGGCAUGUGGAGGUUCCCAGGCUAGGGGUCUAAUUGGAGCUGCAGCCGCUGGCCUACACCAGAGCCACAGCAACGUGGGAUCUGAGCCGUGUCUUUGACCUACACCACAACUCAUGGCAACACCGAAUCCUUAACCCAGUGAGCGAGACCAGGGAUCAAACCCACAACCUCAUGGUUCCUAGUCGGAUUCAUUAACCACUGAGCCAUGGCAGGAACUCCUAUUCCCAUUUUCUUAAUCAAGAAAACAAAACUGCAUCUAGCUUCUGUAAAAUUACCUUGCUUUGAAAGUACCUAUUUCUUUUUAGGAAACUAAUGCCUUUAUUCUUUUUGGUACUUGUUUUACAACUCUGUCUAUUUUAUUAUUGCUAUAAACUAAAUGCCUGUGUGCCCCUAAAAUUCAUAUGCUGAAAUCUAAUCCUUAGUGUUAUGGUACUUGGAGGUGGGACCUUGGGGAGGUGACUAGAUCAUGAGGGCAGCGUCCUUAUGAAUGGGAUUAGUGUCCUUACAAAAGAGAUCCCCAAAGCUCCCUCACCCCCUCAGCCAUGUAAGAAUGCAGCCAGAAGAUGGCCAUCUCUGAACCAGGAAACAGGUCCUCAACAGACACCAAACCUGCCAGCACCUUGAUCUUGGACUUUGCAGCCUCCAGAUUGGGACAUAAAUGUUUGGUGUUAAGCCACCCAGUAUUUUGUUAUACCAAGACAAGGAUACAAAAUGUUUGCAUCACCCAUUCUAAAUAUUUAAUAUCUGGAAUUUUAAAAUCUUACUUUACAUUUCCAUGAACUUUAUAAGGUUUUGCCAUCAUGGUUUCUUUCUAUUUAUAAGCAUUUUCAGCACAUAUACAAAGGUAACACUUUGAAACCUUUAUGAUAAUUGACUGAAUAUUUUACUGUAAAGAAACAAUUUCAGAGUUCCCAUCUUGGCCCAGUGGUUAAUGAACCCGACUAGCAUCCAUGAGGACAUGGGUUCGAUCCCUGGCCUUGCUCAGUGGGUCAAAGAUCCGGUGUUGCCAUGAGCUGUGUGUGGUGUAGGUCGCAGAUGCGACUUGGAUCCCAUGUUGCUGUGUUUGUGGCAUAAUCCAGCAGCUACAGCUCUGAUUUGACCCCUAGCCAGGGAACCUCCAUAUGCCAUAGAUGCAGCACUAAAAAGACCAAAAAAAAAAAAAAAAAAAAAAAAAA
rnacentral:lncRNA from 1 species